AGCCCAUAAGCUAGCUCCUACCCCUAAACUCAUCAACCCACUAUUCAUUAACCCCAAAAACCUCAAACGCCAACAAUCAAACCAUUUUUCCCCUCUAGUACGGGCGACAGAAAAGGACAUAAUGAAGCAAUAGAAAUAGUACCGCAAGGGAACGCUGAAAGAGAAAUGAAACAAACCAGUAAAGCAUAGAAAAGCAGAGGUUAAUCCUCGUACCUUUUGCAUCAUGAAUUAGCAAGAAAGCAUUAAGCAAAAAGUAUUUUAGUUUAAUUCCCCGAAACCAAGUGAGCUACUCCAAGACAGCCUGACAGGGCACACCCGUCUCUGUGGCAAAAGAGUGGGAAGAGCUUUGAGUAGAGGUGACAGACCUACCGAACUUGGUUAUAGCUGGUUAUCCAGAAAUUGAAUAGAAGUUCAGCCUUUUGUCCUCUUCCCCCACACACCGGCCACAACCAAACGCGCUAAAGAAGACAAAAGAGUUAGUCAAAGGGGGUACAGCCCCUUUGAAAAAGAUACAACUUUCCCAGGAGGGUUAAGAUCAUAUUAUCAUUAAGGAAACGUGUCCUAGUUGGCCUAAAAGCAGCCACCCAUGUAGAAAGCGUUAAAGCUCAAAGACCCUUCCACCCCAUAUCCAGACCACUUAAAUCUUACCCCCCUACACACACUGGAUCUUUCCAUACCCCUAUGGAAGAGAUUAUGCUAAUAUGAGUAAUAAGAGAUCCAGCAUCUCUCCCUGCACAAGUGUAUAUCAGAACGAACUGACACCGAAAAUUAACGGCCCCAAAAAAUGAGGGUACUGAGAUAUAAUGGCCUAACCACUAGAAAACCGCCCACUACCCCACCGUUAACCUUACACCAGAGUGCACCCCAGGAAAGACUAAAAGAAAAAGAAGGAACUCGGCA
rnacentral:rRNA from 1 species